CUUCCCAACCAUCUCACAAGGACAUCCAAGGCAAUGAUGCUUUAUUCUGGUUUGCUGGUAAACCCACUGGGCACGAUGCCUCAGGAUAAGUGACAAGUAGGUCUUGUUACUUGUUGCUCUUGACCAGUGACAAGGUUUCUAGCUGCCCAAG
ensembl:misc_RNA